GACGAACGCUGGCGGCGUGCUUAACACAUGCCAGUCGAACGGAAAGGCCCUGCUUUUGUGGGGUGCUCGAGUGGCGAACGGGUGAGUAACACGUGAGUAACCUGCCCUUGACUUUGGGAUAACUUCAGGAAACUGGGGCUAAUACCGGAUAGGAGCUCCUGCUGCAUGGUGGGGGUUGGAAAGUUUCGGCGGUUGGGGAUGGACUCGCGGCUUAUCAGCUUGUUUGUGGGGUAGUGGCUUACCAAGGCUUUGACGGGUAGCCGGCCUGAGAGGGUGACCGGACACAUGGGGACUGAGUUAGGCCGCAGACUGCGGAGGGGGCAAGGGGGGGGCAAAAUUGCGCAGCGGGGGGAGGCCGGAGGCAGCACCGGGGGGGGGGGAGUGACGGCCGUGGGGUUGUACCCGGCGUUCCCCUGUGGUGAAGCGGGAGUUAGGAUAAGGAAGGAAGGCGCACCGGAAAACUGCGUGCCAGACGGCGGGGUAAUAAAGAGAACCGACUAGCCUCAUC
rnacentral:rRNA from 1 species